rnacentral:rRNA from 1 species
GUGAGGAAUUUUGCGCAAUGGGGGCAACCCUGACGCAGCGACGCCGCGUGGAGGACGAAGUCUUUCGGGAUGUAAACUCCUGUCAGUGGGGACGAUAAUGACGGUACCCACAGAGGAAGCACCGGCUAACUCCGUGCCAGCAGCCACGGUAAGACGGAGGGUGCAAGCGUUGUUCGGAAUUACUGGGCGUAAAGCGUAUGUAGGCGGCAAGUUAAGUUCAAUGUUAAAGCCCACGGCUCAACCGAGGAGAUGCAUUGAAUACUGGCUAGCUAGAGGGUGUUAGAGGAAGACGGAAUUCCCAGUGUAGCGGUGAAAUGCGUAGAUAUUGGGAGGAACAUCGGUAGCGAAAGCGGUCUUCUGGGACAUACCUGACGCUGAGGUACGAAAGCGUGGGGAGCAAACGGGAUUAGAUACCCUAGUAGUCC